rnacentral:misc_RNA from 1 species
GCGGAGACUGCGUCUUGGCACCCGAGAGAAGACGGAGCAAGCGGGGCGGGGCCUACUUCUUUAGGAAAUGGAAUAGGCUUGAGCGUUGUCCCAUCAUUCCCCACAUGCACUUCAUAUAGAAAUUUAGCACCAGUACUUAUAUUGUACUCAUGUACCCAUUUUAGGGUGUCUUGGUGCACCCAGAAGCUCGUAUUUAAUAGUU